rnacentral:rRNA from 1 species
UGGGUAAUCUUGUGAAACUUCAUCGUGCUGGGGAUAGAGCAUUGCAACUAUUGCUCUUGAACGAGGAAUCCCUAGUAAGUACAAGUCACUAGCUUGUGCUGAUUACGUCCCUGCCCUUUGUACACACCGCCCGUCGCUACUACCGAUUGAAUGGCUUAGUGAGGCCCUCGGAUUGAGGCUCGGAGUUUGGCAACAGACUCUUGGUUUUGAAAAGUUGGUCAAACUUGGUCAUUUAGAGGAAGUAAAAGUCGUAACAAGGUUUCCGUAGGUGAACCUGCGGAAGGAUCAUU